rnacentral:rRNA from 1 species
CGGGAAUUUUGGGCAAUGGGCGAAAGCCUGACCCAGCAACGCCGCGUGAGGGAUGAAGUAUUUCGGUAUGUAAACCUCGAAAGAAUGGGAAGAAUAAAUGACGGUACCAUUUAUAAGCUCCGGCUAACUACGUGCCAGCAGCCGCGGUAAUACGUAGGGAGCAAGCGUUGUUCGGAUUUACUGGGCGUAAAGGGCGCGUAGGCGGCGCGGUAAGUCACUUGUGAAAUCUCUGAGCUUAACUCAGAACGGCCAAGUGAUACUGCUGUGCUAGAGUGCGGAAGAGGCAACCGGAAUUCUUGGUGUGGCGGUGAAAUGCGUAGAUAUCAAGAGGAACACCUGAGGCGAAGGCGGGUCGCUGGGCCGACACUGACGCUGAUGCGCGAAAGCCAGGGGAGCAAACG